rnacentral:miRNA from 1 species
UAGAGUGUAUACUGUGAGAGGCCU